CCUACUUAAAAAUAAUGAACUCUGUAUCUAUGGUUUCCUUGUGUAUUGAAAAAGUUCUGUUCUCUUCCACUGUUCAUGUUUCAAGGCUAAUCCGGAUGUUAGUAGAAAGUGAUGAUCUAUGAAGUUGUUCAAGUGUUCAACAAUGACAGAUCCCUAACUUUAAAGGGGGAUGGAAGGGACAUAUUUGGUUCUGUAUUGGGUAUGAACUUUGUGGUUGCAAACUAUUGCAGAGAGCGAGUUCAUUUUGCUUCGGCUGAGGAGUACUUGGACACAUUUUUGGCUAUAUUGAAGGAUUGAUUGCCAAGAGCAUUGGAGGCAUACGUUUCAAAAGGUCGAUGCUGAGAUUGCACCUCUUGGUUCAGUAACUGUUGGCUCUGCUGCUACUAUGGCUAUUGUUUGCUCCUCCCAUAUCAUUACGGCAAAUUGUUGUGAUACUAGAGUGGUACCUUGCCUCACAGCAUCAAUCUGCUUAUUCUAGUAAACAAAAUGCAUGUUAAAUUAUCUGCAUUUUAUAUGCGAAUUCAAUAUCUUCACUAUUUUCCACAA